GAGGAAUAUUGGUCAAUGGGCGAGAGCCUGAACCAGCCAAGUAGCGUGCAGGAUGACGGCCCUCCGGGUUGUAAACUGCUUUUAGUUGGGAAUAAAAAAAGGGACUUGUCCCUUCUUGUAUGUACCUUCAGAAAAAGGACCGGCUAAUUCCGUGCCAGCAGCCGCGGUAAUACGGAAGGUCCAGGCGUUAUCCGGAUUUAUUGGGUUUAAAGGGAGCGUAGGCGGAUUGUUAAGUCAGCGGUUAAAGGGUGUGGCUCAACCAUGCAUUGCCGUUGAAACUGGCGAUCUUGAGUGCAGACAGGGAUGCCGGAAUUCGUGGUGUAGCGGUGAAAUGCUUAGAUAUCACGAAGAACUCCGAUCGCGAAGGCAGGUGUCCGGGCUGCAACUGACGCUGAGGCUCGAAAGUGUGGGUAUCAAACAGGAUUAGAUACCCUGGUAGUCCACACAGUAAACGAUGUAUACUCGCGGUUUGCGAUAGACAGUAAGCCGCCAAGCGAAAGCGUUAAGUAUACCACCUGGGGAGUACGCCGGCAACGGUG
rnacentral:rRNA from 1 species